rnacentral:lncRNA from 1 species
GGCCUCCCAAAGUGCCGGGAUUACAGGCGUGAGCCACUGCAGCCAGCCUUGGAAGAAAUUUAAAUGCAUGUUACUAAGCAAGAGAAGCCAACCAAAAAUGCUACAUACUGUAUUACUUCAAAUAUGUGGCAUUCUGGAAAAGGCAAAACUUUUUGGAGACAGAAAAAGGAUCAGCGGUUGCCAGGGUUUAGAGGGAGGGCAGGAUGCAUAGGUGGCACACUGAGGAUAUUUAGGGCAGUGAAACUGUUCUGCAUGACACGGUAAUGGUGGAUGCAUUCCAUUAUACAUUUGUCAAGACCUAUAGAAGGUCUACCACCAAGAGUAAGCCCUACGUAGACUAUGGACUUUGGGUGAUAAUGACCUGUCAAUGUAGGAUUAGCAAUAGUAACAAAUGCACUGCUUUGGUGAAGGACACUGAUAAUGGAGGAGGCUGUGCACAUGUGGGAACAGGGUAUAUAUGUGGGGAAUCUCUGUAUCUUCCACUCAAUAUUGUUAUGAGUCUAAAACUGCUCUAAGAAACAGUCUAUUCUUUAAGAAAUAGGAGAAAAGAGGAGAAGAAAGAGGGGGCGGGGGAAACAGGGAGAUCUGUAGGCUCCUGCGGAAGGUCAUUGCAAAAUACUGGUGAUUCCAGGGAAGGUUGGAACAGCCUCUUUCUGAGAAAAAAUGAGUGUGGCAGAUGUCAGCAGAUACAAUCAUCCUCUGCCGCCUGCUGCUCUUCCUUUAUUCUUGGGUCUCUGAGCUUCUCUUUCUUGUCUGAACCCCUUUGCACACAAGGAUUAGCCAAUCAGAAUGCUUUCUCCCACUGGCAACAGUGAAGACUCCAUCCUGGAGAAUCAGAACCUUCUCUAGGAUUUUUGUUGAACUUUCAACUGUUGGUUGAAAUGGUUGCCGUGGAGAUGGUCUCAGCCUAGAGCGGCUGCUGUUCAGCUUUGGCCCCUGAAGGGAGAACACAUCUGAGGAUGAAGAAUGGUUGAGGCAUUUGUUCCUCUGGUUUUCUCUCUGCUCCAGUGCAGUAGGUUGGCCUUGCCCUUCUUCUGAAGCCCCCGUUUCCAUCGGGUGGCUGGUUUCAUGCAGCUGUGGCUCCUCACAGAUUCCCUCUCUCAGUUGCCAUAACUGCUACCCUCCUUGCUCCUACAGGCACUGGGGCAGAAGUGGUUCCUCCAUUAUUAGCAGCCCAGGGUUCUUUCAACCUGCCUACAUCUGGAAAAUACCUCCUUAUCAAACUCUUCAUCACCAGUGUCAGUUCAUGGUCAGUUUCUUUCCUGAGCCCUGACCCACACCCAGGGAAAGGCCAACCUUCCGUGGCCAAGAUGAAGCCUCUUCCACUGUCAGCUGGGCACUUCUAGGGGCUGUGAGCGCUGAAGAAUGGAGAGAUUCAGGCCAUGUGUGUGGCUCUACCUCCUGAGAAACAGGCGUUAUCAGGCCUGGGCUUUGCUCACAGCACCUGCCGGCUCCUGGGAAGAAGCCACAUCUGCCUCGAACUGCCCUGACUGCCUUUGUUACGAUACCUACCCGUGGCUUGCUUGUGCCAACUCUGAAAACACAGGGCUGCCUGAGGGAGCUCUCGUGUUAGCAAGCAGCAGCUCGUGGGAAGGAAUCCUUAUUGUCCCCAUCUUAAAGACCUCCGAAACGAAACCAGAGAUACUGAAUGAUUUGCCUGGGAUGACUCCGCUACCACUUGGCACAGCCACGGUGCAAACCCAGUUGGGCUGGCACUGAACACCCAGACUGUAGAUCCCUCCUGCCUGACUCAAGAGCCUCUGUCUAUAUGGAAGCAAUCAACUUAAGGUCACAAGAGGCCCAUUUCAGAAUGGGUUCUGUCCCACACUCUGGAGGAAGGAAUGCUGUAUGAGGAGGCCUAGAAGAAUCUGAACAGACAGGCUUUACUGGAGUUCCCCACUCGGCCCGUUAGUAUUAGACCAGAUCUUUUUGUCCAGUCACAUUUCUACGUGGUUGCCUAUCAAAGAAGUCUCUAUAAAAAGUCCAAGAGAACAGGGUUUGGGGAGCUUCCAGGAGGCAGGAAGGUGAACAAGAAUUCAUCCACAUGCCAGACAGCUGGUGCAUCCCAAAUCCAUGGAGACAGAAGCUCCUGCACUCAGACCCUUCCAGACCUCACCCUACAUGUUUCUUCAUCUGGCUGUGUAUUUGUAUCCUUUGAAAUAUCCUUUGUAAUAAACUGUUAAACAUAA